rnacentral:rRNA from 1 species
UGGGGAAUAUUGGGCAAUGGGGGAAACCCUGACCCAGCAACGCCGCGUGAAGGAAGAAGGCUUUCGGGUUGUAAACUUCUUUUACCAGGGACGAAGACGUGACGGUACCUGGAGAAAAAGCCACGGCUAACUACGUGCCAGCAGCCGCGGUAAUACGUAGGUGGCAAGCGUUGUCCGGAUUUACUGGGUGUAAAGGGCGUGCAGGCGGGGGAGCAAGUCAGCUGUGAAAUCUAUGGGCUUAACCCAUAAACUGCAGUUGAAACUGUUCUUCUUGAGUGAAGUAGAGGUUGGCGGAAUUCCGAGUGUAGCGGUGAAAUGCGUAGAUAUUCGGAGGAACACCGGUGGCGAAGGCGGCCAACUGGGCUUUUACUGACGCUGAGGCUCGAAAGUGUGGGGAGCAAACAGGAUUAGAUACCCUGGUAGU